GAUGAACGCUGGCGGCGUGCCUAAUACAUGCAAGUCGAGCGAACAGACGAGGAGCUUGCUCCUUUGACGUUAGCGGCGGACGGGUGAGUAACACGUGGGUAACCUACCUAUAAGACUGGGAUAACUUCGGGAAACCGGAGCUAAUACCGGAUAAUAUUUCGAACCGCAUGGUUCGAUAGUGAAAGAUGGCUUUGCUAUCACUUAUAGAUGGACCUGCGCCGUAUUAGCUAGUUGGUAAGGUAACGGCUUACCAAGGCAACGAUACGUAGCCGACCUGAGAGGGUGAUCGGCCACACUGGAACUGAGACUCGGUCCAGACUCCUACGGGAGGCAGCAGUAGGGAAUCUUCCGCAAUGGGCGAAAGCCUGACGGAGCAACGCCGCGUGAGUGAUGAAGGUCUUCGGAUCGUAAAACUCUGUUAUUAGGGAAGAACAAACGUGUAAGUAACUGUGCACGUCUUGACGGUACCUAAUCAGAAAGCCACGGCUAACUACGUG
rnacentral:rRNA from 1 species